GUCUACAGCCAUACCACCCUGAACAUGCCCUAUCUCAUCUGAUCUCAGAAGCUAAGCAGGGUCGGGCCUGGUUAGUACUUGGAUGGGAGAAAAGUCAGGAUAGUCACAGACU
ensembl:rRNA 5S_rRNA 5S ribosomal RNA